rnacentral:lncRNA from 1 species
UUGUUAAGGGUGUUUGAGCAUUUGUCGACUAAGUCAAUUAUUAUCGAUGAUUUAUCUAUCUAUUCAUAGUUAUAUGCCUUCUCUUGACAAAUCUCUUGAAGAAACCACCAACCGAUGGGACCAGUCUAUUUUGGAUAAAAGAAUGUACAAUUGCAUUUGAAACAUUGAAACAAAAAUUGGUUUCAACACUAGUAUUGGUAGCACCUUGUUGAACAAAAUCAUUCCAAGUUUAUGUAGAUGCAUCUAAUGUCACAAUUGGUUCUGUGUUAAGCCAGAAAGAUGAUC